GACGAACGCUGGCGGCGUGCUUAACACAUGCAAGUCGAACGAGACGAUUGAAAGCUUGCUUUCGAAAGUCGAGUGGCAAACGGGUGAGUAACGCGUAGACAACCUGCCUUUGAGAUGGGGACAACAGUUCGAAAGGACUGCUAAAACCGAAUGUUGUAUAUUUUCCACAUGGAAGAUAUAUUAAAGAUGGCCUCUAUUUAUAAGCUAUCGCUCAAAGAUGGGUCUGCGUCUGAUUAGCUAGUUGGUGGGGUAACGGCCUACCAAGGCGACGAUCAGGAGCCAGUCUGAGAGGAUGAACGGCCACAUUGGGACUGAGACACGGCCCAGACUCCGACGGGAGGCAGCAGUGGGGAAUCUUCCACAGUGGACGAAAGUCUGAUGGAGCAACGCCGCGUGGGUGAAGAAGGGUUUCGGCUCGUAAAGCUCUGUUGUCGGGGACGAAUGUGCAUUACUUGAAUAAAGUAGUGUAAUGACGGUACCUGACGAGGAAGCCACGGCUAACUACGUGCCAGCCGCCGCAGUAA
rnacentral:rRNA from 1 species